CCCUUAGAUGUCCUGGGCUGCACGCGCGCUACACUGAUGUGUCCAGUAAGCACCUAACCUAUUCCGAGAGGAGCGGGUAACCUUAGCAAAGCACAUCGUGAUGGGGAUAGAUUAUUGCAAUUAUUAGUCUUGAACGAGGAAUUCCUAGUAAGCACAAGUCAUCAGCUUGUGUUGAUUACGUCCCUGCCCUUUGUACACACCGCCCGUCGCUCCUACCGAUUGAAUGUUCCGGUGAGCUCUUCGGACUGCGCGGUCUGCAGUUUCUGCGUUCCGUGCGGAAAGUUGUGCAAGCCUUAACAUUUAGAGGAAGGAGAAGUCGUAACA
rnacentral:rRNA from 1 species